rnacentral:lncRNA from 1 species
CUGCAAUGAGCCCUCCAGAAUGCAGACGUCUGGUCUGGUGGAACUCAAUAGAUUUCUGUUUGCUGCAUGUGCUGCGGGUGCACACACACACAUGCACAAAUGACCACUUUAUGAAAGCAUUUGCGUGCAAUAAAAAGUUAAUUUUUUUCACACUUAAAAUCAGCUUCGCCACCUGCAGUGAUUAUCAAGCAAGCUUCAUUUGGAGACAGAUUUGGAGGCUGGCGGCUCUUUGGCUCUGAGAAAAUCCCUGAAGAAAACAUCUUGGACACCCUGAGGCAUCACCUCACAAGUUGGACACCUGAAAUGCCUUCUAGCAGCAAAACUCAUUCAAAGGAAAUGAACCAAAACAAUUCUUGCAGAACUUUUCUACAGACAGACUGAGAAACUGUGAUAACAAAAUAGCCAGUAGCCAAGCUCGGAUGCUCAGUGGAGCUGAGCUGUGGGUAUGAUUUGCCAAGACUCGUUUGACCUAAUUCAUGCCAGUGACUUGAAGCUUAAUGUUCUGACCAAAAACUUACAGCUCAGCAGUUUACUUACAAGUUUUCUCUGAUAUUUCUAUAUUCUAGGUUUGACCUAGAAAUUUCAGCUUUAAAACUAUGUCUAAUUAAAGAACCAUCUGCUUGUAUAUAUGUAUAUACACACACAUGUUUAUAUAGACACAUAUAUACAUAUAUAUGUUUUAUUUUAAUAAUGUCGGUGAGUAAUGAAAAAUUGAUUUUGACUUUGGGAGUGCACUUUACCCUUUUUGUGUAUGUUUACUGGAUAUAUUUCAAUCUGGUGCUCAGCCGAACAAUAAAACCAAUCUCCAAG